CCUGGUGGCUCAGACAGUAAAGCAUCUGCCUGUAAUGCAGGAGACCCAGGUUCGAUCCCUGGGUCAGGA
rnacentral:tRNA from 1 species